rnacentral:rRNA from 1 species
UACAGAGGGUGCGAGCGUUAAUCGGAAUUACUGGGCGUAAAGCGCACGUAGGUGGCUUGGCAAGUCGGGUGUGAAAUCCCCGGGCUCAACCUGGGAACUGCAUUCGAGACUGCAUUGCUGGAGUACGGAAGAGGAAGGCGGAAUUCCCGGUGUAGCGGUGAAAUGCGUAGAUAUCAGGAAGAACACCCGUGGCGAAGGCGGCUCUCUGGGACGUGACUGACGCUGAGACGCGAAAGCGUGGGGAGCGAACAGG